UGCAUGUCUAAGUACACGCCUUAAAACGGUGAAACCGCGAAUGGCUCAUUAAAUCAGCUAUGGUUUAUUGGAUCUUACCCGUUAAAUGGAUAACUGUAAUAACUCUAGAGCUAAUACAUGCCACGAUGCCCUGACCCGCAAGGGGAUGGGUGCACUUAUUAGAUCAGAAGCUAACCGAGCUUGCUCGUUGUUUUCUGGUGACUCUGGAUAAUUGUUACAGAUCGCAUCGACCUUGAGUCGGCGACGGGUCCUUCAAAUGUCUGCCCUAUCAACUUUCGAUGGUAGGCGACCUGCCUACCAUGGUGAUAACGGGUAACGGGGAAUCAGGGUUCGAUUCCGGAGAGGGAGCCUGAGAAACGGCUACCACUUCCAAGGGAGGCAGCAGGCGCGCAAAUUACCCACUCCCGGUACGGGGAGGUGGUGACGAAAAAUACCGAUGCAGGACUCAUUAACGAGGCUCUGCAAUCGGAAUGAGUGAAAUCUAAAUCCUUUUACGAGGAUCAAUUGGAGGGCAAGUCUGGUGCCAGCAGCCGCGGUAACUCCAGCUCCAAUAGCGUAUAUUAAAGUUGCUGCAGUUAAAAAGCUCGUAGUUGGAUCUCGGUGAUACUGGGGCCUACCGCUGCUUAGUUGGUUGAGUCUGGCUGCACCUAGCGUGUACGUUGGAUUUGCCGGCUGUGUUAGUGGUGUGGAAACGGUGUUACCUUUCAGCCAUGUCUGUGGUGCAAUACCCACAGGUGUAAGCAAGUGUCAGGCGGUGCUGUGCUUUCUGUAUGGUCCGUCGGCUCGUUUGCAUGCCUGCGGAUGCCCUUCAAAAGGUGUCUGUUGGCGGAUGGCACGUUUACUUUGAACAAAUUUGAGUGCUCAAACCAGGCCAACGCUGCCUGAAAAGUUUUGCAUGGAAUAAUGGAAUAGGACUUCGGUUCUAUUUUGUUGGUUUUCGGAUCC
rnacentral:rRNA from 1 species